GGAUCGUCCGGAGGCUUCAGCAGGGACAGUUCCUCUGAUCGUCUGAUGUCUGAGAUGGAGCCAACACGAGACGGUGUGGGGGAUCAGGGACAAUAUGGAAACAAGGUGUUUGAUUUCCAACCAAAACUGCAUUGAAAGAGUGGGCUUAGCUAAUAUCGGAACAACUAGUGGAAUGCAGCACUGGAAAAAGACACAUCCCAGCAUUCUAUUCUUUACAAUGCAACUACACACAUACUACUAUAAUAGGAACCAUGUCCAAAAGCAUCGUACAUCUCUUCUUAUUGUAAAAUCAUUCAUACUAAGGAAAAUGGUCUAAAAU